GAGGAUCUACCAGAGGCAAUGCGGAUACGGAGGAAAGGGAUCGACCGGAGAUGCGGGCGCAGGAUCCGGGUCCAGCCUAGGUGCAGCGGCACUCGAUUCAGAGGAUGGGACGCGGGAUACAGAGGAGCGGGCGGUUUGUGUCGAUCGAGUGGAGGCGCGGGAUCCAGCUGAGGCGAUCGAGCGGAGGCGCGGGAGGAUGCUGCCCUUCCCCUCGCGCCUCACUGCCGGCGUCGCCGCCGCCGGCCACAUCUAGCCGCCUCAGAACUCCUCGCCCUCACGUCUUGCUUCAUAUCCUCCCAUCCCCAUCCCUUCUGCAGCCAUGUUCAUUCCUAAGGUUGGCAUCUUUUCCACUCCCCCUCCUAAUCGAUUUGGUUCCUGAAACCAAUGUUUGCUUGCUACUAUAGCUGAGGGAUUGGCUUGUUUGCUUCGGCUGCUCGUUGAUUAGGAUGUGCUCUACGGCGUGUGCGCCAACGCACGGUAAGGUCAAGCAGCUGGUAGAGUAUAUUGGGUAGUUGACAAAGACUGCAGCUGCAAGGGAACAUAUAGGAAGCACGUGCAACUCCAGUUCGGUGUGGACCUAUCGGUCAUCCUCCAUCGGUUCCAGCCUGAGGCAGAAGCAGUGUUUGCUUGCUUUGCUUCACAACGAUGCUUGGUCCAUGUCUCUCCCAUGACAACCGCCUAGGGAAAACGAUAAACAUCUGGACCAUGUUGGCACUAGAUGGUGUAGUGUUAACGUAGCAUAACUUGUACUUCCUCCGUCCGGAAAUACUUAUCAUUGAAAUACGAUGUAUCUAGAUGUAUUUUAGUUCUAGAUACAUCCAUUUUCAUUCAUUUUGAUGACAAGUAUUUCCGAACGGAGGGAGUAUGUAUUUCCUGAUGCCUCUCAGCCCUAUACGUACAACAAGUGAACAGUAAGAUAGUAGAGGCUUUCAGUUCAGAUUUGCUCUGCAAUGCCAAAAACAAAAUAAAAAG